GAUGAAGAACGCAGCGAAAUGCGAUAAGUAAUGUGAAUUGCAGAAUUCAGUGAAUCAUCGAAUCUUUGAACGCACCUUGCGCUCCUUGGCAUUCCGAGGAGCAUGCCUGUUUGAGUGUCAUUAAAUUCUCAAGACCUGUCUGCUUUUUUGAUAGGUAUUGGAUUUUGGGGGUUGCAGGCUGUUUCAAAUAAAUAGCCUUGCUCUCCUUGAAUGUAUUAGUGGAGAAAAGCCAUUGAACUCCAUUGGUGUGAUAAAACCUAUCAAUGCCAGGAGCAAUAUCACUACUUCUCUCUGCUGUCUAACUGUGACUGUCUGUAUUAAUUAGUAUGGAUUGGGACAACUUGACCAACUUGACCUCAAAUCAGGUAGGACUACCCGCUGAACUUAAGCAUAUCAAUAAGCGGAGGA
rnacentral:misc_RNA from 1 species